rnacentral:snRNA from 2 species
GUCCCGUCGGGGAUAUUUGACAAAAUUAGAACGAUACAAAAAAUAGGAUUAGCUUGAUCUUUGCGCAAGAAUGACACACACAAAUCGAGAAAUGAUUCAAAUGUUU